ACCUAGGUGGGUUUUGUGGUGGGUGGUGAACGGACAGGUUUGGGCCUGGAUCCCCCACCCGACCCUAGCACCCACAGGUGGGGUUGCCCGCUCUACUGAUACGCCUCCUCUCUCAGCACUGUGGACCUGCUGGACUGGAGCAGCCUCAUCCACAGCAGGACCAAGCUCUCCAAGCACCUGGUGGUCCCCAACGCACAGACAGGACAGCUGGAGCCCCUGCUGUCCCGGUUCACUGAGGAGGAGGAGCUACAGAUGACGAGGAUGCUACAGCGGAUGGAUGUCCUGGCCAAGGUGAGCUGUCCUGCUUGGGCAGAGGGCUGGGGCCUUGGGGACCUGGGACUCGUGCAGAAGAGGGCAUCUGCCUCACUUGAGCAAUAGUUGCUCCCACUCCCCCACCCCCUGCGCCUCUCAGAAAGCCACAGAGAUGGGCGUGCGGCUGAUGGUGGAUGCCGAG
rnacentral:sRNA from 1 species